CUUCGGGAUAACCAUUGGAAACGGUGGUUAAUACCGGGUAUGACAUCGGAUCGCAUGGUUUGGUGUGGAAAGGUUUUUUCUGGUGGGGGAUGGGCUCGCGGCCUAUCAGCUUGUUGGUGGGGUGAUGGCCUACCAAGGCUUUGACGGGUAGCCGGCCUGAGAGGGCGACCGGCCACACUGGUACUGAGACACGGCCCAGACUCCUACGGGAGGCAGCAGUGGGGAAUAUUGCACAAUGGGGGAAACCCUGAUGCAGCGACGCCGCGUGGGGGAUGAAGGCCUUCGGGUUGUAAACCCCUUUCAGUAAGGAACAAGGCCAUGAUUGUUGUUGUGGUUGAGGGUACUUGCAGAAGAAGCGCCGGCUAACUACGUGCCAGCAGCCGCGGUAAUACGUAGGGCGCAAGCGUUGUCCGGAAUUAUUGGGCGUAAAGAGCUCGUAGGCGGUUUGUCGCGUCUGUCGUGAAAUCCCGAUGCUUAACGUCGGGCUUGCGGUGGGUACGGGCAGGCUGGAGUGCGGUAGGGGUGACUGGAAUUCCUGGUGUAGCGGUGGAAUGCGCAGAUAUCAGGAGGAACACCGAUGGCGAAGGCAGGUCACUGGGCCGUUACUGACGCUGAGGAGCGAAAGCAUGGGGAGCGAACAGGAUUAGAUACCCUGGUAGUCCAUGCCGUAAACGUUGGGCACUAGGUGUGGGGAUUGUUCCACGAUUCCUGUACCGUAGCUAACGCAUUAAGUGCCCCGCCUGGGGAGUACGGCCGCAAGGGCUAAAACUCAAAGGAAUUGACGGGGGCCCGCACAAGCGGCGGAGCAUGCGGAUUAAUUCGAUGCAACGCGAAGAACCUUACCAAGGCUUGACAUACGCUAGAUCGCUCCAGAGAUGGGGUUUUCCUUUGGACUGGUGUACAGGUGGUGCAUGGUUGUCGUCAGCUCGUGUCGUGAGAUGUUGGGUUAAGUCCCGCAAGGAGCGCAACCCUAAUCGAAUU
rnacentral:rRNA from 1 species